UCUCUCUCUCUCUCUCUCUCUCUCUCUCUCACUCACUGUUUCUCUGUAGAUUUGAUGGUUCUCUUGUUCAAGUUUCUGAUUUGCGUUCAUAUCUCUCAUGGCUUUUGACUUUAAUGGGUUCAUAACUUCAUAUUUCUCAUGUUUAAUGUGCUGUAAUGUUUAAUGAGUUUGAAUGUUUAAAUUUCUAUUUUUUCUUUUUUCGGUAAAAUUAAUGGAUCUUCCCAUUAGUUAGAUAUAUAUAUGGGUCUUCAUUUUGUCUUUUUUCUGGUGAAAUUAGUGGGUCUUCUAUUAGAUUAGCUCAUCAAAAUUUGUUUGGGUGCUAACUGUGCUGUGAUGAAGAAAAUGAUUGGGCGAGGGAGAGAGGUGGGUUCUGUGAUGGUGAUGUGCGGGUGGGAUUUGCAGAAAGUUAAAAGAGAUGGGGUAUUUGAUUAAUAUAUAUAAGGUUGGGGGUGGGGGGUGGAAUCCUUAAUGUGUCAUCAAUGUCACAGAGGCAGGGUUGUUCGCUGCAAAAUUUGUAAGAGAAAACGAUAAUGUGUUCCUUGCAUACAGAACUGGUAUGCAUUUAUGUGCUUAAUCUUUCUUAUUCAUUUAUGAUUAACAACUUUUAAAAUAUGCUGGAUUGUUUGGGUUUGUUUUGUUGGACUAGCCACGAUUCUUUGAAGUGAGUUUACCUCAGUAGAAUCCGGUAAAAAAAUAGGACCUUUGGCCUUUUCCUUUCAAUUAAAAAUUAAGAUUUUGGUGCUUGUGUUUUAUGCAUGAUAUUAGUGGUAAUCGAAGUCAACUGACUCACAUGGUAUACAGGGUGAGUAUUGCACUUUCUUAGAAAUAAAUACUUGAAAAUUUGUAGGGUCCAAGUCUACAGAGGGAUGGCAAGUGAUUAGGUCUUUGAACAAGCCAUGAGCGUGAGCGAAAAGAGGUUGUCAGUCAGAUUGAGCGAGAUCGAGCCCCAGAAAAGACCUCGAUCAGAACCCCCUUGCAACAAAGAGUCCAGGCCCACACUGGAUCUAAAGGAGGUGUGGGGUAAGGGGACUUUAGUAUGGCAUCCUUACGACAGCAGUGAUGACGAAGAUGAGGGCGAUGAGGACGUGUAUUAUAUGUUCAAGGGUGACUUUGACAGCAAAAGGGAGGCGCUACGGGAAGAAAAGGCGAUACGCAGACGUCUUAGAGGAAAAUUGCCCGAAGAAAAGCAAAAAACCACUGCGGAAGCGGAAGAGCAAACCAGUAAUAAGCUAAGAAAGGGGCGAAUGUUUUGUGUCGUCAAAGGUAUGGUAUUAUGUGUUGUUUUAUCCUUCAUUCUUUGUUUUUGAGACAAAUUUCAUUAAAAAAUUAUGGAAACCCUCCAUCCCAAAAAAUAUUCUAAAACCCUAAACCCCAACCCAGUAAUUUCAGCUCAAACAAACUAAAGAAGAAUAGUUUCGGGUUCAAAUGAAAUGUAUUUUUGUUGGAUGAAUUUAUGAAAUUGGGACUUAACUAGUGAGCUAGCCCUUGAAUUCUUAA